GGAGGGUGCAAGCGUUAAUCGGAAUUACUGGGCGUAAAGCGCGCGUAGGCGGCUUAGUCAGUCAGAUGUGAAAGCCCCGGGCUCAACCUGGGAACUGCAUUUGAUACUGCUGAACUAGAGUGUGGUAGAGGGAAGUGGAAUUCCGCGUGUUAGGCUGAAAUGCGUAGAUAUCGGAAGGAACCAUCAUUGCGAAGGCAGCUUCCUGGACCAACACUGGACUCUAAGAACGUCCGGAUAACGGAAGGAAGGUGGGUCVUCAAGUCGAUAUGUCCCUUVUUCAGGCUACACACGUAAUACAAUGGAAGUACAGAGGGUAGCAAAACGUCGAAGUAGAGCCAAUCCCAAAAAACUUCCCCAGUUCGGAUUGCAGUCUGCAACUCGACUGCAUGAAGCAGGAAUCGCUAGUAAUCGCGCAUCAGCAUGGCGCGGUGAAUACGUUCCCGGGUCUU
rnacentral:rRNA from 1 species